CGCAUAGGUGUGAGGGUGCCCGCUGCGUUUACCUGAGAAUUCGUUAUUUGAAUGUGUUCGUGCGUGUUCGUGUGUGUACGACAAGUUAGCGUUUCCCGUAUCGGCCUGACGGUGGAUGUGAGCAAAGUUGCACCGGUUGGAAUCCCGUCCGUUCCCUUCCCAUUCCAUUAGACCCGCCGGCCGCCCGAGCCUCGCCUUACCUGUGUGAGGCUGUUCAGGUCUUGAUGUGGCUCAGCGGUGGGCGUUACGCAAGCUUAUUAUUGAGGUCGUCCUCCUCGUCGGCACUCAACAAGACCUGGUUCUCGGACGGCCGGCGGAGGAAAGGUGCGUGUAAUUUGGGUUCACCUGGCGCCGGCCUAACCUCCCCUACCUGGAAUACCUGAAGUGCUUAUCAAAGGGGCACCUCGCAUAUCUAACGAGGUAAGUGAACCGCAGAGCCGACGGUAAGUACAGAGACUGAGUUUCGAGGAGAUGCAAGAUUAGUGACGAAAGGAGGAUGUUGAGAAUGGAGGAAUGGGAGGAGGAGGAGGAGAUGGAGAUGAUGGAAAUGAAUAAGAACAGUAAACGAAGAGGAGGAGAAGGAGAGAAAAAGGAGAGUGAGAAGUAAAAUAAGAACAGUAAACGAAGAGGAGGAGAGGGAAAGAAAAAGGGCAGUGAGAGGAAUAUGAACUAAAAGCGAAGCAUAAACGAUGGCAACGCUGCAAGGAAAUAAGAAGAAGAGGAGGAGGAGAAGAUUAAAGGAGGUGUCGAUAUGAAGAAAAGAAGAUACAAAAAGAGGAAAAGGGGAUCAAAAAAUAAAAUAAGAACGAAUAAAACAAAACGAAGCAUGAACGAUAAUAGUAAUGAUGUCACAUAAUAGAGUCAAGUCCCGCCCGCCGCUGUUUUUCCCUCCUUGAAUCCCUUGCUCGCGGUCUCAUAAAGAAAUCAUCCGGCGUGACCUUCCCGCGCUCCCAUGAACUCGAGCUCCACCUGCCGCUUUCUUUUACCCUCCGUGUAGUGUUAUGUGGAAGUUCGCGGCAAUCACAACUUUUACGCCGAGACUUACC